UAGCGUAGGGGGCAAGCGUUGUCCGGAUUUAUUGGGCGUAAAGAGCGUGUAGGCGGCCAGGUAGGUCUGCUGUGAAAACUCGAGGCUUAACCUCGAGCUGUCGGCGGAAACCAUCUGGCUAGAGUCCGGAAGAGGAGAAUGGAAUUCCCGGUGGUAGCGGUGAAAUGCGCAGAUAUCGGGAAGAACACCCGUGGCGAAGGCGGUUCUCUGGGAGGUACUGACGCUGAGACGCGAAAGCGUGGGGAGCGAACAGG
rnacentral:rRNA from 1 species